rnacentral:rRNA from 1 species
UACGAAGGGUGCAAGCGUUACUCGGAAUUACUGGGCGUAAAGGGUGCGUAGGCGGUUCGUUAAGUCUGUCGUGAAAUCCCCGGGCUCAACCUGGGAAUGGCGGUGGAUACUGGGCAGCUAGAGUGUGUCAGAGGAUGGUGGAAUUCCCGGUGUAGCGGUGAAAUGCGUAGAUAUCGGAAGGAACACCUGUGGCGAAAGCGGCUCACUGGACCACAACUGACGCUGAGGCACGAAAGCUAGGGGAGCAAACAGG